UCUGGUAAUGAUGGCAGAGAGGCCACACCCGUUCCCAUACCGAACACGGAAGUUAAGCUCUCUAGCGCC
rnacentral:rRNA from 1 species